UACGAAGGGGGCUAGCGUUGCUCGGAAUCACUGGGCGUAAAGCGCACGUAGGCGGAUUGUUAAGUCAGGGGUGAAAUCCUGGAGCUCAACUCCAGAACUGCCUUUGAUACUGGCGAUCUUGAGUCCGGGAGAGGUGAGUGGAACUGCGAGUGUAGAGGUGAAAUUCGUAGAUAUUCGGAAGAACACCAGUGGCGAAGGCGGCUCACUGGACAUGUAUUGACGCUGAGGUGCGAAAGCGUGGGGAGCAAACAGG
rnacentral:rRNA from 1 species